CCUAGUAACAUUGGGACAGUGGGAGACAUGGGGACACAGACACUAUGGGACACAGCCAGUUUCCCUGGUGUCUGUGUCCCCAUGUCUCUCAGUGUUCAAAUGUCUCCCAGUGUCCCUAUUGUCUGUGUCCCCAUGUCUCCCAGUUUCCCCAUGUCCCCCUGUGU